UGGCGCUGCUAAACUGCAGUCGAGCGAUCUUUGGGAGCUUGCUCCCAAGGUUAGCGGCGGACGGGUGAGUAACACGUGGAUAACCUGCCUGUAAGACUGGGAUAACUCCCGGAAACCGGGGCUAAUACCGGAUAUGAUUUUAGUUCGCAUGAACUGAAAUGGAAAGGUGGCUUUUGCCUCCACCUUCCAAAUGAACCCCCGCCCCAUAACCUAUUUGUGAAGGUACCGCCCCCCCAGGGCAACAAUCCUAACCCACCCUAAAAGGGGAUCCGCCCCCCCGGGGACGAAAACACGCCCCAAACCCCACCGGAAGGCGCCAUUAGGAAUCCUCCCCCAUGGAACAAAAUUCUAACGAACAACCCCCCCGGGAUUAUGAAAGGUUUUCGAACCUAAAACUUCUUUGUUUAGGAAAAAAAAUUCCCUUUCAAAAAGGGCG
rnacentral:rRNA from 1 species